GCAGCAGGAGGGGAGGAUCCACCAACUUUCCGAGAGUGAAUGGUAAACAAGAGAGUGAAGAGGACCAGCCAGAGAGUGCUAACAAACCCCAGAGCAAGCGGGCGGGUGACACUGGCACCCUGUGGACCUGCCAGCCUCCGGGCUGACUGUGAACUUCAGCACACGGAGGAGGCCCUGCAGCGCCACUGGAGCAGAAUGCACAGGAAACUGCUGCAAAGGAGCUUCCGGCAGCCACAGGAACAGCCAAGCCUGCCCCCACACCCACUGCCCCCAGCUGUUGGCCGCAGGAGAAAUGGCAGACCCAGCAGUGCAGGCCUGGGACGGCUUCCUGCUCCACUGCUAACACAGCAACGGUGUCCACAUCUGGUCACAGCUGCACACCUGUGAGCCGACAUCACGCCUGAUGGCAGCAAGGGGCUGGCACAGAGAUGUGGUCUGGGCAGAGUCUGCUCGACAGUCACAACAUCACAGAGCAGUCCUCCGGGCCACCAUGUCCCACAGUAUCCUAAACCAGGAGGUUCGGGUGCCUUUGCUGCCCCCAGUGUGUAGGAAAGGUAAGUAACAUAACCAGAGCCACCAGUCCAGAACUCUGCCCAGGUCUAACAGACCCUAGGUCCCUGGCUCCAACCCUCUUGCUGGCUGAGGUAUUUGGUGCCUUUGUGUGCCUUUGGCCCCAGGGCAGAGGAGGCGUGGAGGGGACAAGAAAAGAAGGGAAGAGAUGAGGUGGCCUGUCACCAUCUGCUCAGAGAUCCCUGCCCCCCAAACCUCGCCUCCACCCAUCCAAAGCCACAGGCUAGCAGAGGAAGGUGAUUAGGGAAGGUCCAAAUGCGGUGGCUAACAAGGCUGGAAGACCCAUUUCCAAAGUGCCCAAACCAUAGAGAAAAAUUGAAGGUCUGGAGACAACAAUCAAUAAACUCGAAGCUCUUCUAAUGGAGAAGAAUAAAGACGAUGAAGUGACGAGAAAUCAAAACACUGACCCAGAAAACAGGCACAGGCACAGAAAGGUCAGGGUGGUCCAGAGAAGAGGAGGGCAGCAGCAACCAGGAAGAGACUUCCGGUCACAGGCAAGGAGAGGGCAGGAGUGAGGCAAGUGGCAGAGGAGCCCUGGCACGCAGCAAUGAACACCAGCUUGCACUGCCCCCUUCCCAGCUUCCAGGGCCCAGUGAGCAGGUGGCUUAACCUCUCUGACAGAGUGGCCACAGAGGCAAACUCAGGGCCUGAGAGGUGGAUUUGGAUAAUGAAAUAUAGGCAUGUGUGGGCCAAAUGGGAUAGUGCCAUGGAUAAAAAGAAGGCCUAUGGUGACAAGACAGAAGCCACGGAAGUUCCUCCUGCCCGGGCCCCAGCUUGGACUUGAGCAGUCUAAUCUGCACUGGCACCAAGUGCCCGGCUGGGUGCCCCCUGUGGGGAGAUCCCCCGGCCUCCCUCCACAAAGGCCCUGAAUCCCCACACACACGCCAGGCACCUCUGCACUGUCCAGGGGCCACGUUAGGAAAGCCACAACAUGGGACCCACUCCCCAAGACUGGCAGACAAAAGAGACUGAAGCUUUUCAGGAAAUGAUGAGAGAACGGAAAGUCACAAACAGCUAUGUGACUGACUGGAGGUCAGAGCCCUGGCUGUGACAGCAUCAUCCCCGCCUAAGCCUCCCUCCCACCCCAAGGACCCAACCUCGCCACUGCGGCCCUCAGGGUCGGCAGCCCUGGCGCUGGAACCAGAGCCUCUCAGGGCUGAGGGACGGCAGCUCCUCCCGCAGAAGCUAACCCAUAACUUCACGGACUUUCACAUCAUCGCUAGGUUUUAUGCCAGUGUAAUGCUCAGCCAUUUUACGUGGGCUUAUGUGCAGUGUGUAUCAAAAAGCUCAUUAAAAAAGAGAGGGAAAAAUGGAGUGAGCAUUGUUUUUGAAAGGCCCUUAACAGACUAUAAAGUGCAGUGACUUUCAUCCCCUGGGGCUUUCCCAUCUUGAAUCAGAGAGUUCCUCAGCCAAAGCAGCCUGUGGGCACGGGAGGUGGCAGGAAGUAGGAAGUGGUACCCUAGGGAGCAACCCCCCUGAGAGAAAGGGGGGCACUUGAGGCUGGGUGCAAUCUGGUCCCCAAGCAUAAAGCGCCCACAGAGUUGGCAAGGACCCUUGUCCGGGACACAUGCAGAGGGCCAGUCGGAUGUGAAGGACACAGCCCUCCAGGGUCCUGGCUACAUUCCCCAGGUCGGACCCUGACCCUCAUGCUUCUCUGGGCCUCCGCACAGUUCCCAGGGCCAGCGCCCAGCAUGGAGAGAGGGAACACUCUCCACAG